GCAAGGAGACAUAAGAGGUGUAGAAUAAGUGGGAGAUAUCAGAUUUCGGUUUGGUAUCGACAAUGAAAUACCACUACUCUUAUUGUUUCCUUAC
rnacentral:rRNA from 1 species